AUUGAACGCUGGCGGCAGGCCUAACACGUGCCAGUCGAGCGGAUGAAGGGAGCUUGCUCCUGGAUUCAGCGGCGGACGGGUGAGUAAUGCCUAGGAAUCUGCCUGGUAGUGGGGGAUAGCGUCCGGAAACGGGCGCUAAUACCGCAUACGUCCUGAGGGAGAAAGUGGGGGAUCUUCGGACCUCACGCUAUCAGAUGAGCCUAGGUCGGAUUAGCUAGUUGGUGGGGUAAAGGCCUACCAAGGCGACGAUCCGUAACUGGUCUGAGAGGAUGAUCAGUCACACUGGAACUGAGACACGGUCCAGACUCCUACGGGAGGCAGCAGUGGGGAAUAUUGGACAAUGGGCGAAAGCCUGAUCCAGCCAUGCCGCGUGUGUGAAGAAGGUCUUCGGAUUGUAAAGCACUUUAAGUUGGGAGGAAGGGCAGUAAGUUAAUACCUUGCUGUUUUGACGUUACCAACAGAAUAAGCACCGGCUAACUUCGUG
rnacentral:rRNA from 1 species